rnacentral:rRNA from 1 species
GAUGAACGCUGGCGGCGUGCCUAAUACAUGCAAGUCGAGCGAACAGACGAGGAGCUUGCUCCUCUGACGUUAGCGGCGGACGGGUGAGUAACACGUGGAUAACCUACCUAUAAGACUGGGAUAACUUCGGGAAACCGGAGCUAAUACCGGAUAAUAUAUUGAACCGCAUGGUUCAAUAGUGAAAGACGGUUUUGCUGUCACUUAUAGCUGGAUCCGCGCCGCAUUAGCUAGUUGGUAAGGUAACGGCUUACCAAGGCAACGAUGCGUAGCCGACCUGAGAGGGGGAUCGGCGACACGGGAACGGAGACACGGUCCAGACGCCUACGGGAGGCAGCAGUAGGGAAUCUUCCGCAAUGGGCGAAAGCCUGACGGAGCAACGCCGCGUGAGUGAUGAAGGUCUUCGGAUCGUAAAACUCUGUUAUUAGGGAAGAACAAAUGUGUAAGUAACUAUGCACGUCUUGACGGUACCUAAUCAGAAAGCCACGGCUAACUACGUG